rnacentral:rRNA from 1 species
GAUGAACGCUGGCGGCGUGCUUAACACAUGCAAGUCGAACGGAAAGGCUCCUGCUUGCAGGGGUACUCGAGUGGCGAACGGGUGAGUAACACGUGGGUGAUUUGCCCUGCACUUCGGGAUAAGCCUGGGAAACUGGGUCUAAUACCGGAUAGGACGAUGGUUUGGAUGCCAUUGUGGAAAGUUUUUUCGGUGUGGGAUGAGCUCGCGGCCUAUCAGCUUGUUGGUGGGGUAAUGGCCUACCAAGGCGUCGACGGGUAGCCGGCCUGAGAGGGUGUACGGCCACAUUGGGACUGAGAUACGGCCCAGACUCCUACGGGAGGCAGCAGUGGGGAAUAUUGCACAAUGGGCGCAAGCCUGAUGCAGCGACGCCGCGUGGGGGAUGACGGCCUUCGGGUUGUAAACUCCUUUCGCUAGGGACGAAGCGCAAGUGACGGUACCUGGAGAAGAAGCACCGGCUAACUACGUG